rnacentral:lncRNA from 1 species
UUCUCUUCCUGCCGCGCUCCCUCAGAACUGGCUGAAGAACACUAGCUACUUCUCCAGCUGCGUGCCGCCAUGUUCCCUGUCAUGGGGAUAAAGGGACUAAAUCCCUCUGAAACGGUUCAUCUAUGAAGCAGCUGGCUCCAGAACCUUCUGCCUGCCUAAGGCCGAAUAAUGCUCUGCUUCUGAUUCCUCAGGCGCCACAUCCAGAAGCAGGAGAAGAACCUUAGGAGCAGUGUCCACUCUGCUCACAGACCCUGUUCAUCAUGGCUCCAAUGACUCUCGAUUUCCAUCUCUGCUGUGUUUCUUAGCCAGCACGGGGCCUGCAACUACAUCUCCUAUCUGGAUGCUGUGUAAGAGCAGGAGGAAGAAUGGACCCUUGCAAGGACACAGCUACCGCCCAGGGGUGCCUGGCGAGACAGAUUCUGCAAAUGUUUGUCAGCUCAGAGCCAGGUCUAGAAUGUGGCCUCUCUGGAGCUCGCUUGUUGGCUCCCCCAGAUGCAUCAUGGAAGGAGUUCCGCAUGCUCUGAGACAGUUUCUUCCCAGGAGGGGAUCAGCUUACUGGAGCAGCGCUGUUUUCUGUGGACCCUUGUCUAGUUGUGGCGGUUGCUGGGAAAGAUGAAGUCCCCAGACUGGAGCUCAGGCUGCAAAGAGGCUGGCAUGGCACCUGGAUACCGAGCCACUCCUUGACAAAAGCCCUCUCCAGCCUGCGUGGACCUCGCGUGAGAGAAGUCUAGGUGGCUGUGGGCAGCCCACAGGCUUCCGUUGCCGCUGCGUUACAGCUUGUCGUCUUAAUCUUGAAAUGAGACCUGGUUCACUUGAUCUCAUUAAUAAAAGGUCUGUGCUCCCCCUAGUCAUAAAAA